rnacentral:lncRNA from 1 species
AUAAUACUCCCAAUAUGUCGUUUCUCCUUGGUACAGUAGAGAUACUCCCUGCAUGAGCCUACUCUGUUUAAACCAAUUAAUUAUUGUUGUUGCUCUGUUCCACGGGGACUUGCUAAGCGACCCCGAAAGCAGUGCGAGUGCUCCCAUUUCCCAGAAUUAGUGCCGAAUUGCGGUACUUUUGAGAUUUUCCUGAAUUUUUCCCGGAACUUUCGACAUUCCCGAAAUGUUCCGAAUCUUUUGCGGAACUUCCUCGGAACUUUUGAAAAAAUCCAAGAAGAAUCCCGGAACUUUUGACGGUCAUUGAGUGGGAGAAAUUGGAACAAAAAAGUUCCGAAUCCCGGAACUUUUGACGGACGUGGAAUGGGAGCCCUGCCUGAGAAAGCGCGAAAUGUCCUCUGGAGGCUCAACCGCGUAGUGACCAGGGGGCAGCCCCCCUCUUACAAUUAGUUACUGAGUAACGAGGAUUUAAGUUAUCAGACCAUGUCCAACCUUCCCUAGAGACGACUCGCUCCACUUUGCGCCGUCGGCCGUAAAAAUCGCGAGGAAUUGGAAAUCGCGGUUUAUGUGCGCCGUUAAUGUCGUUCGCACCGAGUUUCGGAGCCAGGCGAGGAGGAGCUCAGUCUUCCUGUGCCCUUGCCGUAGCAGAACCUCUUCGGGGAUCCGGCCCGGAAUCCGUGCGGUAAAAUGCACCCCUUGACCAAGUACGCCCUCUGUGUCUGCGUCCUCACGACAUCGGUAUUUGCUUUUAAAGACGGAGGCCCCGAAGGAGUCGCAGAUGAAGAAGACGUCGCUAGAAAAACCUCAGAAAUUGAUGAGGGUAACAGAGAGGAUGAAAGCACUUUCGGAUGCAUCAGAUGUAUCAUUGGAUGUAUGAUGAUGGGAGACUCAUUCUCAAAGUGCAAAUCUCAAGUAUGCAAGCCCAAAUGCAAGAGGGACUAUACUGAGCAAUGCGUCGAUUGCGUCAGAAGUUUUUGCUCCUACAACGAUAGAGGCUUCUUAGACUUCCAAGAUUGCCCAUACUGCUUAGGGGUGUGCGGCCAAAUGCUCAUGCAGUGAACAUUUGCAAUUUUUAAUGGACAGUUGAGAAAAUUUCUGAUGUAACAUAUUCGUUGUAAUAAUGCUCCUGUUAAUGUCGUCAUCUGCCUCACGGAAGAAC